CAAUGACGCUGCGGCAUGCCUUACACAUGCAAGUCGAACGGCAGCACGGGGGCAAUCCUGGUGGCGAGUGGCGAACGGGUGAGUAAUACAUCGGAACGUGUCCUGUAGUGGGGGAUAGCCCGGCGAAAGCCGGAUUAAUACCGCAUACGCUCUACGGAGGAAAGGGGGGGAUCUUAGGACCUCCCGCUACAGGGGCGGCCGAUGGCAGAUUAGCUAGUUGGUGGGGUAAAGGCCUACCAAGGCGACGAUCUGUAGCUGGUCUGAGAGGACGACCAGCCACACUGGGACUGAGACACGGCCCAGACUCCUACGGGAGGCAGCAGUGGGGAAUUUUGGACAAUGGGGGAAACCCUGAUCCAGCAAUGCCGCGUGUGUGAAGAAGGCCUUCGGGUUGUAAAGCACUUUUGUCCGGAAAGAAAACCUCUGGGUUAAUACCCCGGGGGGAUGACGGUACCGGAAGAAUAAGCACCGGCUAACUACGUGCCAGCAGCCGCGGUAAUACGUAGGGUGCAAGCGUUAAUCGGAAUUACUGGGCGUAAAGCGUGCGCAGGCGGUCCGCUAAGACAGAUGUGAAAUCCCCGGGCUUAACCUGGGAACUGCAUUUGUGACUGGCGGGCUAGAGUAUGGCAGAGGGGGGUAGAAUUCCACGUGUAGCAGUGAAAUGCGUAGAGAUGUGGAGGAAUACCGAUGGCGAAGGCAGCCCCCUGGGCCAAUACUGACGCUCAUGCACGAAAGCGUGGGGAGCAAACAGGAUUAGAUACCCUGGUAGUCCACGCCCUAAACGAUGUCAACUAGUUGUCGGGUCUUCAUUGACUUGGUAACGUAGCUAACGCGUGAAGUGACCGCCUGG
rnacentral:rRNA from 1 species